rnacentral:rRNA from 1 species
ACCCAUAGUAUAAUGAAGUGGCAUCACUUUAUUAUAAAGAUUUAUCACUCGAAGAUGGCUGUGCGGCUGAUUAGGUAGUUGGCGGGGUAAAGGCCCACCAAGCCUGCGAUCAGUAACUGGUGUGAGAGCACGACCAGUCACACGGGCACUGAGACACGGGCCCGACUCCUACGGGAGGCAGCAGUAAGGAAUAUUGGUCGAUGGAGGCAACUCUGAACCAGCCAUGCCGCGUGGAGGAUGAAGGUCCUCUGGAUUGUAAACUUCUUUAUAUGGGACGAAAAAGGCUUUCUAAGUCGUCUGACGGUACCAUAUGAAUAAGCACCGGCUAACUCCGUG